rnacentral:snRNA from 1 species
AACAUGUAGCGUUUCGACACAAAU